rnacentral:misc_RNA from 1 species
GAUGAAGAACGUAGCGAAAUGCGAUAAGUAGUGUGAAUUGCAGAAUUCAGUGAAUCAUCGAAUCUUUGAACGCACAUUGCGCCCUUAGGUAUUCCUUAGGGCAUGCCUGUUCGAGCGUCAUUUAAACCUUCAAGCUAAGCUUGGUGUUGGGUGACUGUCCGCUUCACGGCGGACUCGCCUCAAAAUUAUUGGCGGCCGGUACAUUGGCUUCGAGCGCAGCAGAAACGCGAACUCGGGCCCGUCGUAUUGGCUCCCAGAAGCUAUCUUCACAAUUUUGACCUCGGAUCAGGUAGGGAUACCCGCUGAACUUAAGCAUAUCAAUAAGCGGAGGA